GUGGGUAGCGGUGAAAUUCCAAUCGAGCCCGGAGAUAGCUGGUUCUCCCCGAAAUAGCUUUAGGGCUAGCCUCAAGGUGAGAGAUACGGAGGUAGAGCACUGAAUGUCCUAGGGGGUAUUGCACCUACCGAAGACUAUCAAACUCCGAAUGCCGUCAUCUUAUACUUGGGAGUCAGACUGUGGGUGAUAAGAUUCAUAGUCGAAAGGGCAACAGCCCAGAUCGUCAGCUAAGGUCCCUAAAUGUAA
rnacentral:rRNA from 1 species